rnacentral:lncRNA from 1 species
UGGCUGUUUCAGGAUGAGUAGCUUCGGGAUACCCAUCCCCCAGCCCCUGAAGAUCUUUGGAGAAGUAUCAUCUUUAUGAACCUGUGACUAGCCCGUGUGUGGUGAUGCACUUGUAAUCCCAGUACAGGGGAGUUAGAAGCAGCUGGAACUCAGGAGAUUAAGAAAACAGUGAGCAGCAUAGCCUACCUGGUUGGUAUGCUGAGUUGCUGGUGACUAAGCAAAGCCUGACACAGCUUCACAAGAGGUCCCUCAAACUCUGACCACCAUGGAGACUUGGCAAUCCAUUCAGACUACUUUGAGAAGCAGUUCAAAACUGAUUUGUAUUCUACGAUUCUCUUUCCUACCUUGUAUUUCUUUCUGUAAAAGAGUUGAGGCUGAUCUAAUUUUAGGAUUUGGCCAUUUGAGUUGAACUUGGUGGUUUUAGUUUUAUUGCUGUUUUUCUUCUUUUAGGUUGAGAGCGAG